rnacentral:misc_RNA from 1 species
CAGCGCUGCUGUUUGCAACGGUCACCGUGAAUCGUGGCCUGAUGCGGUAGAUCGUUCGAUCCGCUACAUCCUUGUACCUCGCUUCCUCCUUGCAAUCACAGCCACCACCGUCAGUCCAUCACAGUGUCGUAGGGAGUCAGUCGAGAUGUCCAAUAUCGAACGCGAGAAUGGUGUCGUGAAGUGGUUCAACGAUGCCAAGGGCUUUGGCUUCAUCAGUCGCGAAAACGGCGAGGACGUCUUCGUCCAUUUCCGUGCGAUCCAGAUCCAGGGCUUCAAAAGCCUCAAGGAAGGCCAGAAGGUCAGCUUCACCGUCGUGCAGGGACAGAAGGGCCUGCAGGCCGACGCGGUGCAGGUGGUCUGAGCGAGGCGCGACACGGCAGGCCAUCGUGCAGACAGCAGAAAGGCCCGUUGCCGGGCCUUUCUGUCG